ensembl:lncRNA
UUUUAAAGCCCCCUCCCUGACUCCCCCGUGGAGUUCAUGGCCUCCUAUUAUUUAGCAGAUUUGUUUUUGCAUCCUGGUUGAACCUUCUAGUUUGAGAGGAAAAAAACUCUAUCGGGAUCAUAUAUGUGCCUUUGCAGGGACGCGGGGGGCAUAACCUAACAAAUGUGUGGGGUCAAUUGGUUUCCCAAGGGGACGCUACUGAGAAGCUGGCUCACCAAGUCCCGGCCCAGACUGCUGCUGCUCAUCGCGGGGUUGAAAAGGCCUCAGGUGACCCUCAUGCGGAGGAAAAGGAUGAAGCGCACGAAAGUAGCAAAGGCCACGUAAGCGAACCUGCAAUCGAAUGCCGCAUUUCAGUUGAGGCUUUGGCAAAGAGGAUCUCCCCACCUGAGUUAGAUAUGAAAGACGAAGACAUGGAAGAACUACGUUUUGAAUCUUUGUCAAAGCAACGAACUAAAAGCCAAAGCAAACAGAAAAGGGGUUUAGCGUCUUUUGUGAAAACAAGGGACCUGCAACAUAGAUCUAGACCCCCUGAUUAAUCGAGAUCUUCUCCUACACGCCCAUUUGUAUAUCACUUCAAAUACAAAUUUGUUAUGGUUCAUUAUAGUACAAUGAGUGUGACUUGUACAUUAUUUACAUCCAGUGGCACACAUUUAGUUUAACAGAACUAUCGCUGUGUUCUUAGGAUAGAUCUUUUCCAGUCAGAGAAUGAUUUGUUUCACAUAAGCACAUUUGUGUUUGAGUGGGUGAAUAAGAAAAUAGUGCCACUCUGUGGCUAGCAGGUGCAAAUAUCUAAACCACAAGUAGGUACACAGCAUUAAUGCAACUCUGGGCCAAUGAAAGGGUCACCAUUAAUGCAACUCUGGGCCAAUGAAAGGGUCACCAUUAAUGCAACUCUGGGCCAAUGAAAGGGUCACCAUUAAUGCAACUCU